CAACAUCCCAUGAUGAAGAGUAUCUAGGUUGCGGUGGGCGUGCAAAUCUAAUGCCGCGCAGGAGUCGGCAUACGAGGAGAUGUUUACCUGCCGGGGCACCAUCCAACCCUUGGUGGCCUGCGGAAAUAGCCGAUCGGUACACAUUUAUCGUGCGAUAGGCUAGGCCAUGGUCAAACAGAGAAGUGAGAAAUCUCAAAACGUGACUUAUAGGUGCCGAUAAGGGAUCCAUGUGUUGUUCCAUGCACCAACCACUCCAUGAAUUCCAGGCAUGUAAGUAGGAUUUCCUUGUUCCCGGAGCCCAAGCUCCCGCCAGAAGGUCAAUAGUUGUUUGUGGAACGUCCGGGAUGAAUCCAAGUCCCCGGAGAGGAGCCAUGCCAGUAAUUGGAGGUGUCCCUGUAAUAGUAGGGGGUGCG